rnacentral:rRNA from 1 species
UACGUAGGGGGCAAGCGUUGUCCGGAAUCAUUGGGCGUAAAGCGCGUGUAGGCGGCUCGGUAAGUCCGCUCUGAAAGUCCAGGGCUCAACCCUGGGAUGCGGGUGGAUACUGCCGGGCUCGAGUCCGGAAGAGGCGAGUGGAAUUCCCGGUGUAGCGGUGAAAUGCGCAGAUAUCAGGAGGAACACCGGUGGCGAAGGCGGGACUCUGGGCCGAUACUGACGCUGAGGAGCGAAAGCGUGGGGAGCAAACAGG